rnacentral:rRNA from 1 species
GCGUUGAAUACGUUCUCGGGCUUUGUACACACCGCCCGUCACACCAAGAGAGUCGGUAGCACCCGAAGGCUGACAUUAGUUGGACGAAGGUGAAAUCGAUGAUAGGGGUGAAGUCGUAACAAGGCAUCCGUAGCGGAAGCUGUGGAUGGAUCACCUCCUUUCUAGGGAGA